rnacentral:rRNA from 1 species
AGCGAACGCUGGCGGCAGGCUUAACACAUGCAAGUCGAACGGGCACUUCGGUGCUAGUGGCAGACGGGUGAGUAACGCGUGGGAACGUGCCUUUCGGUUCGGAAUCAUCCAGGGAAACUUGGACUAAUACCGGAUACGCCCUUCGGGGGAAAGAUUUAUCGCCGAAAGAUCGGCCCGCGUCUGAUUAGCUAGUUGGUGAGGUAAAGGCUCACCAAGGCGACGAUCAGUAGCUGGUCUGAGAGGAUGAUCAGCCACACUGGGACUGAGACACGGCCCAGACUCCUACGGGAGGCAGCAGUGGGGAAUAUUGGACAAUGGGCGAAAGCCUGAUCCAGCCAUGCCGCGUGAGUGAUGAAGGCCUUAGGGUUGUAAAGCUCUUUUGUCCGGGAAGAUAAUGACUGUAGCCGGAGAAGAAGCCCCGGCUAACUUCGUGCCAGCCGCCGCUGUAAAAC